CACUCAGGGCGGGGUGAGAUUCCCCACCGGCGGUAAAGUCCGCGAGCCGCGAAUGCGGUUGAUACGGUGAAAUUCCGUAACCGACGGUAUAGUCCGGAUGAAAGAGU
rnacentral:ncRNA from 1 species